UAUAAUAUAAACAUUUGUAAAAAUGAUUCAGAUAGUCAAACAAAACACAAUGUACACCCUGUAUAAACAAUAUCUCGGCACAAAAUUACUGCCUUAAAAGCAAUGUCGACAAAAACGAGACUAAAUUUGGGUCAGCGCUGAGGUUUUGGAACUUAGCAACUCGAAUGAAAAUCACAGUCAGCAGCUUUAGAUUUUUGUUUGAUGCCAACUUACCAGCCAAUUGAUCUUCUGAGUAAUUUGCCUGUAAACAAG